GUCGAGCGGACAGAAGGGAGCUUGCUCCCGGAUGUUAGCGGCGGACGGGUGAGUAACACGUGGGUAACCUGCCUGUAAGACUGGGAUAACUCCGGGAAACCGGAGCUAAUACCGGAUAGUUCCUUGAACCGCAUGGUUCAAGGAUGAAAGACGGUUUCGGCUGUCACUUACAGAUGGACCCGCGGCGCAUUAGCUAGUUGGUGAGGUAACGGCUCACCAAGGCGACGAUGCGUAGCCGACCUGAGAGGGUGAUCGGCCACACUGGGACUGAGACACGGCCCAGACUCCUACGGGAGGCAGCAGUAGGGAAUCUUCCGCAAUGGACGAAAGUCUGACGGAGCAACGCCGCGUGAGUGAUGAAGGUUUUCGGAUCGUAAAGCUCUGUUGUUAGGGAAGAACAAGUGCAAGAGUAACUGCUUGCACCUUGACGGUACCUAACCAGAAAGCCACGGCUAACUACGUGCCAGCAGCCGCGGUAAUACGUAGGUGGCAAGCGUUGUCCGGAAUUAUUGGGCGUAAAGGGCUCGCAGGCGGUUUCUUAAGUCUGAUGUGAAAGCCCCCGGCUCAACCGGGGAGGGUCAUUGGAAACUGGGAAACUUGAGUGCAGAAGAGGAGAGUGGAAUUCCACGUGUAGCGGUGAAAUGCGUAGAGAUGUGGAGGAACACCAGUGGCGAAGGCGACUCUCUGGUCUGUAACUGACGCUGAGGAGCGAAAGCGUGGGGAGCGAACAGGAUUAGAUACCCUGGUAGUCCACGCCGUAAACGAUGAGUGCUAAGUGUUAGGGGGUUUCCGCC
rnacentral:rRNA from 1 species